rnacentral:rRNA from 1 species
UACGUAGGGGGCAAGCGUUGUCCGGAAUCAUUGGGCGUAAAGCGCGUGUAGGCGGCAUAGUAAGUUCACUGUGAAAGCCCUUGGCUCAACCAAGGAAGUGCAGUGAAAACUGCUAAGCUCGAGUUCUGAAGAGGGUCGCGGAAUGGCCAGUGUAGAGGUGAAAUUCGUAGAUAUUGGCUAGAACACCAGUGGCGAAGGCGGCGACCUGGGAAGAUACUGACGCUGAGAUGCGAAAGCGUGGGGAGCAAACAGG